rnacentral:lncRNA from 1 species
UAAGCUUCUCCAAGCAAGAUCUUCAAGGUUGUCCUCCUUUGGCACUGACUUCUUUGCUUUCUUCACAUCAUUACAUUACAUAAAGAAACUCAUUUUACAUACGAGGGAGUGAGAUGAGAAAAUAAGUUACAUUUGGGAGAUUAAGAGAGAGGCACGACACGCAGGUCGUAUUUUAAAACCCAAAGCAAAAUAAAGAAAAACUAAG